rnacentral:ncRNA from 1 species
AGUUAAGCGAUGAGAGGGAAUAGUAGCUUGUCUCCAUUCUGAAGAGAACCGGUGGUUGGUGCGAACCGGUGUCUGGAACAAAUGAAUCCGCCCUCGAGCAGAGUAUGGAACACCGUAUCGGCCAGUAAAUACUCUCGGUAAUAACCGUUAUUUUAAGAGUGGAGGGCAUUUUUGCCUUCAACUAGGGUGGCAACGCGGGUUAACUCUCGUCCCUUUU